UGGGGAAUUUUGGACAAUGGGCGAAAGCCUGAUCCAGCAAUGCCGCGUGUGUGAAGAAGGCCUUCGGGUUGUAAAGCACUUUUGUCCGGAAAGAAAUCCUUGGCUCUAAUACAGUCGGGGGAUGACGGUACCGGAAGAAUAAGCACCGGCUAACUACGUGCCAGCAGCCGCGGUAAUACGUAGGGUGCAAGCGUUAAUCGGAAUUACUGGGCGUAAAGCGUGCGCAGGCGGUUUGCUAAGACCGAUGUGAAAUCCCCGGGCUCAACCUGGGAACUGCAUUGGUGACUGGGCAGGCUAGAGUAUGGCAGAGGGGGGUAGAAUUCCACGUGUAGCAGUGAAAUGCGUAGAGAUGUGGAGGAAUACCGAUGGCGAAGGCAGCCCCCUGGGCCAAUACUGACGCUCAUGCACGAAAGCGU
rnacentral:rRNA from 1 species